GGGCCCGCACAAGCGGUGGAGUAUGUGGUUUAAUUCGAUGCAACGCGAAGAACCUUACCAGGGUUUGACAUCCUGCGAAUCUCUUGGAAACAGGAGAGUGCCUUCGGGAACGCAGUGACAGGUGGUGCAUGGCUGUCGUCAGCUCGUGUCGUGAGAUGUUGGGUUAAGUCCCGCAACGAGCGCAACCCUCGUCCUAUGUUGCCAGCACGUAAUGGUGGGGACUCGUAGGAGACUGCCGGGGUCAACUCGGAGGAAGGUGGGGACGACGUCAAGUCAUCAUGCCCCUUAUAUCCAGGGCUGCAAACAUGCUACAAUGGCCGGUACAAAGGGCAGCGAAACCGCGAGGUCAAGCGAAUCCCACAAAGCCGGUCUCAGUUCGGAUUGGAGUCUGCAACUCGACUCCAUGAAGCUGGAGUCGCUAGUAAUCC
rnacentral:rRNA from 1 species